UACAGAGGUCUCAAGCGUUGUUCGGAUUCAUUGGGCGUAAAGGGUGCGUAGGUGGCGCCGUAAGUCAGGUGUGAAAUCUCGGGGCUUAACUCCGAAACUGCAUUUGAUACUGCGGUGCUCGAGGACUGGAGAGGAGACUGGAAUUUACGGUGUAGCGGUGAAAUGCGUAGAUAUCGUAAGGAAGACCAGUGGCGAAGGCGGGUCUCUGGACAGUUCCUGACGCUGAGGCACGAAGGUCAGGGGAGCAAACGGG
rnacentral:rRNA from 1 species